GCGCGGGGACGACCCUGCAUUUUUGUCAAAAAGGACGGGACGACCCGC
rnacentral:ncRNA from 1 species